UCUACCCAGUGUGGCUACAAUGGCUGCUGGGAGUUUGCAGCGUGGUCUGUGUGCUGAAGUCUGGCAUUAGUCUCCUCCACCUCAUCACCGCCUCCCGUAACAUGGCUGCUAUCGAUGUGGCUGACCGUGAGAGAGAGCGGAGCAAAGCACAAUGAGACAUGAGAGUAUGCAGAAACCAAGAAAAAUGAGACAAAGGCUGUGCAAAAGAGAUGAGCAGAAAAUAAAUAAAUGAGGAUGAGAUAAUGGAAAUCAAUUAUGGGACCACACAAAGCCUCAGUAUAUCAAAGAAUGUUUAUCUGUUUGAAUAUUAGUUUGAAGAGUGUGAAGCCAUUAUUAUAUUAAGCAAGUGGCUCUGGCAUCAUUUUCGUCCAUAGCCUCCUGAAUGUAUUAUUGGGUUGUGGUAGAGUGGUAGACAUACUGUUUGCUGUCUAAAGUUUUACAGCUGUUGUUAUAAAUGAUCUGAAAUAUAUGAGAGUUAUAUGAUUGUGGAGAAAAGUCAUUUUGUACUGUAACUGAUGAUUUGACAAUAAAGAUAUCCUGACAACAA